UACGUAGGGUGCAAGCGUUGUCCGGAAUUAUUGGGCGUAAAGAGCUCGUAGGCGGUCUGUCGCGUCGGAUGUGAAAAUCCAGGGCUCAACCCUGGACCUGCAUUCGAUACGGGCAGACUAGAGUUCGGUAGGGGAGACUGGAAUUCCUGGUGUAGCGGUGAAAUGCGCAGAUAUCAGGAGGAACACCGGUGGCGAAGGCGGUUCUCUGGGCAUUACCUGACGCUGAGGAGCGAAAGUGUGGGGAGCGAACAGG
rnacentral:rRNA from 1 species